UACAGAGGGGGCAAGCGUUGUUCGGAAUUACUGGGCGUAAAGGGCGCGUAGGCGGCCUUCUAAGUCGAACGUGAAAUCCCCGGGCUCAACCCGGGAACUGCGUCCGAUACUGGAAGGCUUGAAUCCGGGAGAGGGAUGCGGAAUUCCAGGUGUAGCGGUGAAAUGCGUAGAUAUCUGGAGGAACACCGGUGGCGAAGGCGGCGACCUGGUCCGUUACUGACGCUGAGGCGCGACAGCGUGGGGAGCAAACAGG
rnacentral:rRNA from 1 species